rnacentral:rRNA from 1 species
CGGAGAGUUUGAUCCUGGCUCAGGAUGAACGCUGGCGGCGUGCCUAAUACAUGCAAGUCGAACGCUUUGUGGUUCAACUGAUUUGAAGAGCUUGCUCAGAUAUGACGAUGGACAUUGCAAAGAGUGGCGAACGGGUGAGUAACACGUGGGAAACCUACCUCUUAGCAGGGGAUAACAUUUGGAAACAGAUGCUAAUACCGUAUAACAAUAGCAACCGCAUGGUUGCUACUUAAAAGAUGGUUCUGCUAUCACUAAGAGAUGGUCCCGCGGUGCAUUAGUUAGUUGGUGAGGUAAUGGCUCACCAAGACGAUGAUGCAUAGCCGAGUUGAGAGACUGAUCGGCCACAAUGGGACUGAGACACGGCCCAUACUCCUACGGGAGGCAGCAGUAGGGAAUCUUCCACAAUGGGCGAAAGCCUGAUGGAGCAACGCCGCGUGUGUGAUGAAGGGUUUCGGCUCGUAAAACACCGUUGUAAGAAAAGAAUGACAUUGAGAGUAACUGUUCAAUGUGUGACGGUAUCUUACCAGAAAGGAACGGCUAAAUACGUGCCAGCAGCCGCGGUAAUACGUAUGUUCCAAGCGUUAUCCGGAUUUAUUGGGCGUAAAGCGAGCGCAGACGGUUAUUUAAGUCUGAAGUGAAAGCCCUCAGCUCAACUGAGGAAUUGCUUUGGAAACUGGAUGACUUGAGUGCAGUAGAGGAAAGUGGAACUCCAUGUGUAGCGGUGAAAUGCGUAGAUAUAUGGAAGAACACCAGUGGCGAAGGCGGCUUUCUGGACCGUAACUGACGUUGAGGCUCGAAAGUGUGGGUAGCAAACAGGAUUAGAUACCCUGGUAGUCCACACCGUAAACGAUGAGUGC